GACGAACGCUGGCGGCGUGCUUAACACAUGCAAGUCGAACGGAAAGGCCCUGCUUUUGUGGGGUGCUCGAGUGGCGAACGGGGGAGUAACACGUGAGUAACCUGCCCUUGACUUUGGGAUAACUUCAGGAAACUGGGGCUAAUACCGGAUAGGAGCUCCUGCUGCAUGGUGGGGGUUGGAAAGUUUCGGCGGUUGGGGAUGGACGCGCGGCUUAUCAGCUUGUUGGUGGGGUAGUGGCUUACCAAGGCUUUGACGGGUAGCCGGCCUGAGAGGGUGACCGGCCACAUUGGGACUGAGAUACGGCCCAGACUCCUACGGGAGGCAGCAGUGGGGAAUAUUGCACAAUGGGCGGAAGCCUGAUGCAGCAACGCCGCGUGCGGGAUGACGGCCUUCGGGUUGUAAACCGCUUUCGCCUGUGACGAAGCGUGAGUGACGGUAAUGGGUAAAGAAGCACCGGCUAACUACGUG
rnacentral:rRNA from 1 species